rnacentral:rRNA from 1 species
GUGGGGAAUAUUGCACAAUGGGGCGAAAGCCUGAUGCAGCAACGCCGCGUGAGCGAUGAAGGCCUUCGGGUCGUAAAGCUCUGUCCUCAAGGAAGAUAAUGACGGUACUUGAGGAGGAAGCCCCGG